CUAAAAACUUCGCCUGUAGCUCUUCUAGAAUUACUGCCGGUCAUAAGCCCGGGUAAAGGAGGAGGGUUGG
ncrna:Schistosoma mansoni type-P1 twister ribozyme